AGUACACCGAAACCAAAUUACAACCACUUAUUCAUUUAUUGCGUCAACUAGAGUAUUUUUUUCAAUUGUUCAGAGAAAUAUGGAAAUUCUAAAUCAGUAUUUAAAUUGUACUUGGACUAUUUUACGUUGCAAUAUUUGUUAAUGCAAUAGCUUACACUGCGGUACACGAUACAGAUCUGAACGUGAGUGCUGAUACAAUUUUACAAGACACAAGUUAAAAUGCAGAUUUUUGCAUCUUGUUAUAUCAAAAAUACAAACUGUGUGUGUGUGUGUGUGUGUGUGUGUGUGUGUGUGUGUGUGUGUGUGUGUGUGUGUGUGUGUGUGUGUGUGUGUGUGUGUGUGUGUGUGUGUGUGCGCUCUAUCAUCAAUGGUAGUUCAGUAUCAGUUCAGUUCAGUGAGAACGUAUCUGCAAUUUAUUCUAUAUCACUGCAAUGUAUUCUAUAUCUCCACCUAAAUCAUCCAUGACAUAUUAAUUUAGAUUUGAUUGAGAAUACAUGUAUUUUCGAAGUUUACACGUUUUUAUCCCUUACAUCUGAUCUUUUCCUUUACCUCGAUAGAAAAGAAUAAGGUCAAGGAAAGAUGUGAAUUAUAAAAACACAGCGGUGCUAAAAUAUCCCAAUGCAUUUACACUAAGCUACGUCAUUGUGCGACGGCGGAUGUGUUGGACGUGGGUCCGCCAUGAUAAAAUUACAACGUUCCGAAGAUGGACAACUAAAACUGCAGCUUUUGCAUGCUUUGCCCCAUGCGUUUAUACUGUGUCGUUUCAUGCAAAAAACAAAGCGAUAGUCUACCGAAGAAGGCUAAUUUGCCCGAGUGGACGAAGCUUACACUCAUGUAUUUCUACAGUAGCCAAAUGCACAGUGUUGAUUUGAAACCUUUGAAGAGACUUUAUACCGAUAACUACUUCUGGGGGACACAUAAUCAAACUAGUCUAAAAUUCUGCACUUAAACAGAAAAUUACCAUAAUAUGUCAGCAGCAAUUAAAGAGAAUCAAAAUACUG